UACAGGGGGGGCAAGCGUUGUUCGGAAUUACUGGGCGUAAAGGGCUCGUAGGUGGCCAACUAAGUCGGACGUGAAAUCCCUCAGCUUAACUGGGGAACUGCGUCCGAUACUGGAUGGCUUGAGUUUGGGAGAGGGGUGCGGAAUUCCAGGUGUAGCGGUGAAAUGCGUAGAUAUCUGGAGGAACACCGGUGGCGAAGGCGGCAUCCUGGACCAACACUGACACUGAGGAGCGAAAGCCAGGGGAGCAAACGGG
rnacentral:rRNA from 1 species